rnacentral:lncRNA from 1 species
GUCUGUUGAAUUCUAAAUUUUGCGUCAUGUUGAUUUUGAAAUCUAGCAUAAAGAGCAAAUAUUAAUAUUUUUUAUUCAUUCCAAGGAAUAUACUGUGCAGAGACUUAUACACUCUAUGGCAUUGAUAGUUUUUAAAUUUCAGAUACUCAAGUCAGCUGGAAAGAAAUCUUAGUAACUUUCCUUAUUGGAUAACAAAGACAGGGCAAAUCUGCGAUAUUACGAAGGAAUCAACUUUCCCAACGUCACGGAUUCAACAGUAGACAGCUAACAAAGGAGUUAUGUAUUGUGUUUCACAUUUCAACACAGCAAUUUUUAUACAUGUGCUUGAGAGUUGUGUUUUGUUACAUAGAUGCUUUACAGUAACUUAAACAUUGAACCUUAAGGAGUUAAAUCUAUUCUACCGACAAACAUAAUAAUUAUGAUGGAUAAAAGAUGAAACAUCUUAAACAUAAAUUUUAAACUUUUUGUUGACCACAAUGUAAACAAACAUUGUGCUUCUGGAAAUAAAUAUGCAUUGUUUUUCAUAAUCAUACCAAUAUUCAUUUUGCAAAUUUUAUAUCAAAUAAAAGCCAUUUUGUUG